UACGUAGGGUGCGAGCGUUAAUCGGAAUUACUGGGCGUAAAGCGUGCGCAGGCGGUUUUGUAAGCCAGAUGUGAAAGCCCCGGGCUUAACCUGGGAACUGCAUCCGAUACUGGAUGGCUUGAAUUCGGGAGAGGGAUGCAGAAUUCCAGGUGUAGCGGUGAAAUGCGUAGAUAUCAGGAGGAACACCAGUAGCGAAGGCGGCACUCUGGGCCGGUACUGACGCUGAGGCGCGAAAGCGUGGGGAGCAAACAGG
rnacentral:rRNA from 1 species